UACGUAAGCAGCGAGCGUUGUUCGGAAUUACUGGGCGUAAAGAGUGUGUAGGCGGUGCUCUAAGUUCGGUGUGAAAUCUCCUGGCUCAACUGGGAGGGUGCGCCGGAAACUGGAGUGCUUGAGCGUGGGAGAGGAAAGCGGAAUUCCUGGUGUAGCGGUGAAAUGCGUAGAUAUCAGGAGGAACACCUGUGGUGUAGACGGCUUUCUGGACCAUAGCUGACGCUGAGACACGAAAGCGUGGGGAGCAAACGGG
rnacentral:rRNA from 1 species